rnacentral:rRNA from 2 species
UGCAAAAGAAGUAGGUAGCUUAACCUUCGGGAGGGCGCUUACCACUUUGUGAUUCAUGACUGGGGUGAAGUCGUAACAAGGUAACCGUAGGGGAACCUGCGGUUGGAUCACCUCCUUACCUUAAAGAA